rnacentral:misc_RNA from 1 species
CCCUCUCCCUUUCCUUCUCACUGCCAAGAGUUGUUGUGCUCCUCAAUGAAUUUCCUUUAUACAUUUCAUCCAUAAAGUACUUCACCGGUGAAGUCUCCACUGAAAAGAGAAAAUUAGGAUUCUCCGCCAUGAGCCGUUUCCAAUCCAAUGACUCCGCCGGUUCUAACUUCACAGUCGGAACAAUAUUCCCAUUGGGCUGACUCC